rnacentral:rRNA from 1 species
GACGAACGCUGGCGGCGUGCUUAACACAUGCAAGUCGAGCGGAAAGGCCCUACGGGGUACUCGAGCGGCGAACGGGUGAGUAACACGUGAGUAACCUGCCCCAGACUUUGGGAUAACCCUCGGAAACGGGGGCUAAUACCGGAUACGACACAGCUUCGCAUGGGGUCUGUGUGGAAAGUUUUUCGGUUUGGGAUGGGCUCGCGGCCUAUCAGCUUGUUGGUGGGGUGAUGGCCUACCAAGGCGACGACGGGUAGCCGGCCUGAGAGGGCGACCGGCCACACUGGGACUGAGACACGGCCCAGACUCCUACGGGAGGCAGCAGUGGGGAAUAUUGCACAAUGGGCGGAAGCCUGAUGCAGCGACGCCGCGUGAGGGAUGACGGCCUUCGGGUUGUAAACCUCUUUCAGCAGGGACGAAGCGUAAGUGACGGUACCUGCAGAAGAAGCGCCGGCCAACUACGUG